UCAGGGUGCUGCUUGGAACUGUCCUAUGUGAAGAAAUUAUAAGGAAAAUAAAUCUGUUAGUGAAACCAUGCUGUAGGUGCACCAGCAAACCAUCCUGAUAUGAAAAACAGAUAAGUAGUAAUAGGCCAGUAUAUCUGCAUAAGGAAUCCUCCAGUGACUUGAAUAUCAAAAAGGAAAUCCUACAAAGAGUGAAAUCAAGGGCAUAUUGUAGAAGCAGUGGCCUGCUUGGGCAAUCCUGACCUUGAUUAACAGCUCUUCUCCCAUGGGAAAGCACAUACCAAAGGAUACAAAUCAGAAGGACUGCCAUCUACACUUAUCAAGACAGUUGUGGACUUUCUUUGAAGCUAGGAGAUGGCCCAGGUGCAUGUUUUGUAGCAGGUGGCUGAGAUCACUGGAACUGUGACAGAGCAUACAAAUUAUUACAAGCCACCUAUCAAUAAUGACUUCCUUCAAAAUGUGUUUGAAACCCCCACAUAUGAUGUCAAUAGGAUUCACAAGCUUGGUUGCUUGACAUGGGCCUCAGGAAUGCCUUGUGGAACUUCAGCACUCAGCUCUUCCUCUGUCAUCACAGCCUUGCAGAGAGGGGUGGAUGGCUGCAUCUGGGAGUCCAUCUGAGUAAGAGGCUGGUUCGCUUUGAGCAUUGGUGUGAAGCAAGGCUACUCUUGCUUUCUGGGGCUGUUUAGCAUUAUCAUACAUUGCUGCUGUGUGGGCAACACGAGCAGCAGCAUUCUGUGGAUAUAUGCACAUUGCACAUAUCUUGGAAGCAUAAAUUGUGCUAGUAGCACUGUGUUACUGAGCCAUAGACCUGAAAAAACCUGUGAAAAUACAUAACCUAGCAAAAGAAGUAAGCCAGACAGGAUUCAAAAUCAGUUAUCAAACCAAACAUCCCUGAAAGCUUAAAACCAAGCAUCAAAGUCAUGUUAGAAAAUACAAAUUCUGGGAAAGCAGAGCUUGCCAGUCCUGUCCAUAUCCCUCUUCUGACUGAUUAGGAAAGAACUGACAGUAAAAAUAGGAGAGUCUUCCACCACUCAUUUCAGCAUAAGGAAAUUCAAGAUAUUCAUUUCCAGAUGAAAAAAAAAAAAAACUUUUUAGAGUUAUUAUUUACAUGUAAUUACAGUGCUAAAAUAGAUCCUGGAAAACAGAGACAUCAAAGAUGCUAGGAAAACUAGAUGCCUUGAGAAAAACAAAGUGCCUAUGAAUGUUGGUCUCUGUCUCAGCAAAGAGUUGAACUGCCCACCACCACCUCUCCUUCCACCACAGUCAGCAGGGAGCAUAGGAUAUAAUUGUUGUGCAUCCUCUGAGUGGCAGCCCCCGAGAAUUCCCCCAGAGAUGACCCAGUGUGUGUGAAGAAGACCCACCUGACAGGAAUGAUGGUGAUCAAUCCCAACUGUGUGUGCUAGAAACAGGAAGGAAUGAUGGUAAGAAAGGGAAGAUGCUACCUUCCACAGCAAGAAUAACAUAGGGGCUGCAAAGAGGAUCCAAUAUAUUCUCCAUAAGUGCUUUGUUUGCUCUGCAAAGCAAAACUUGCAUUAGCUAGCUUGCCACUGGGGGUAAUAGUUGUGAACUUUACCAAAGGGGAGGAAAAUAAUGCUCUUGCUCCAGAGAUGCAAAGGGUAGCUGCUCUGCAGGAAAAAGCACUGCACCAAAUACUUCAAGAAGCUGAAGUAAAAAAAUAGCUUAUUUAAACUAAACUUAUUUAAACAGGGAAAUAAACUUAUUUAAACAGGGAAACCCUCUUGCUGAGGUAUCACUGUGUAAAUGCUGCAGCCAUGGUGGACGGGGGAGAAAGUCCACGUCAAGAAGAUUUGGCAGAUGUGGGACUCAGGUAGUCAUGCCAGUGGAAAUUACUUGAUCCCUGAUUAAAGGGGCUUUGCCUUUCAUGUAUCUUCAAAGGUAUCUAGAGUCUACUGGUGUCAUUAGCAAUGAUGGUUUAUUUUCAUUACCUAGACUGAAUGAAAGAUCUUUAAUCAAACUGUGUUGUAUUAGAGGCAGUUCUGCUGUUUAACCAUAAAUAUUUGGUGUGCAAUCCGGUGUUGAUUUGUAAGGUUAGUGGUAAUUAUAAAAUAAGUAGUCCUUUUUUCUUUGUAUUAUCUACUGAGUUGUUUUUGAAUAUUAAGUUGAACUUAGAUCCAAGUGUGCUUUUUGAGGUGAUUACUUGUAGAAAUAAGGGGGCACAAUGAAUAUGUUCAGGAUACAUUGUUUGUGCUGCAAUUCCCAGUCAUUUAUUUAGCCAAGUUUUGACACAAAAGCACUAAAUCUAUGCUUCUUUAGAAAAGUAAAUCUCUAUAGUCUGUUCCCAGCUUUCUUCUAGAUUUCUCAUAAUAUCAAGCCCACACACAGCCCAGAUUCCUCAAUGGUAGCUGGUGAAGUUUUUCCACCUUCUUGAGCUAUAUAUAUUCCUAUGUCCUGAGCAGCAGCCUGUGCAUGUGUUUUGAGUGCAGACUGCUGUUAUUUUAGAUACCUUCCUCCAUAAAGGAGCCUAAGUGCUUCUUACAUAUCUUCAUAAUGAGAAUUUUUUCAUUACUUUCACAGAGGCUUAACCUCAUUUCCAAAAUGAGGUUGUUCUUGUUCUCCAAGUUAAAUAACUAAAUACAGAUAUAUGUGUGAGUGUGUGUGUGUGUGUGUGUGUGUGUGUGUGUGUGUGUGUGUGUGUGUGUGUGUGUGUGUAAAAUGUUGGGAGUUUGUCCAUCAAGAUCCAUAUGAAUUUAUAUGUAUAUCGUGGUUGAAGUAAAGAACUUUAUUCAGGAGGGAGUCUUAAAUGUGUGCCUUUUUUAAAGCACCUACUGAAGAGAGGUUUCAUGCAUGUUUACACACUUUUCUGAAUAGGGGUGCAUGAAAGAACAGGCUUCUUUUCUGGAAUCCAAACCUUGACUGAAAUAUCACUGCCUGGAUCAUCUGCUGCUUGCAAGGCUGGCAGCAGCAAGGGGAUAUAAACCAUAGCUCACACUGGUGUCACCAGUAAGUGAAGGACACAUUGCAUGUACUUGUACAACAUGUUGUUCCUCAGGUGAGACCAUGUGCUUUAGUAACUCGCCUUUAUGCAGUGGGAGCAUCAAGAUGAAGGUCAUGGGUCCCAGAACACAGCUGUGAUGAAGCAAAUCUACAUUGUGACAUCCAAAUUUGUUAUAUAAUUAGAGCAUUCAAUUAUAGACUGAAAGACAUACUUAGACUGUAUUAGAAUAUUCUCUGAUGUAAAUGAGGUUGAGUUAAUUCCCUAACAGGCCGAGCAGUGACAAGAGAAGCAGUUAAGCUCCCAGCACUAACUGGGGACAAAAUUAAACAAGUGGCAUUCUUCCCUGCCCUGCCCUGCCUCACCUCCUCCUGUGCCCUGGUCCUAUGGCCAUGAGAGCCAGCUCCACACUGAGAGCCCCUGCCACAGAGAGUAAUGUCCACCUUUUGUUGUAAUCUGCUAAUAAAUGAUUUCUCCUUUGGGUUCCAGCUGCAGCUCUGCCCUUGUGCAGGCUAUUGGUUGGGUAGAGCAGCCACAAGCAGUGGGAACAGCUAAGACUCUUCAAGAAUUUCAGUAGUUUUCUUGGAUUAAUACUGGUUGAAUUUUGUCUCUGAAAACAGUAAGUUUUGAUAGGAGUCCUUGUUUCUCUAGGCUGAUCUGGCUGGUUCAGCCGUAGCUGAUGUAAGCUGGAACAUUGAGGCUUGUUUCAAAGAGAGAGGGAAUGCAAGCCAAGACACAAACAUGGGCCCCUAUUUUCCUCUGAAAAAUAUUAUUAGGUUUCCAUUUUCCUCUUAGGCAGCAAUAAGCUACUCCUCUGAGUGAGAAAAGGGUCCUUUAUAUUUUGGAGAUAUUUGAGGAAAUUGCCAUGGCAUUAUUGUUCCAUAAGUCACUUCCAAAAUAUACUAGAUCUCACGCAGAGGUGGAAAGUCUGUGACCAGACUACACAGUCUAGAAACAACUGAGAUUAAAUGCAAGGGCAGCAGGCACAAUGUCCAAAACAGAUAAAUCAGGGUGACUGCAUAGUUGCAUUCUUGUUUUUCCACUGUCCUAACAGAGAGGGCAAAAUAAGCCUGUACAGCAAAUACAUGAAAAAACACAUACUGGAAGAAAUAUUUAUGCUGUAUUAGCAUAUUCUCUGCUCUAAAUGAGUUUGGGCUAAUUACUUAUCAGACCAAAAUGGGAUAAGCAGGGGAGAUAAGCUCUUAAUAUCACAUUAGGAGAAAUUAUUAAGCAGAAUAAACAUAAUUUAUUUGAUUCUUCUCUUUCUUAUUUCAAUUGCUUUACUUAGCAAUUUCAGUAAUGUUCUUUAACAAAUUAUUUAUUUUCUUAAGCAGAAAAAAAAAUAAAAAUGAAAACAAGCUGGAAAGAGAUUAAUUUUAUUCUGGCUCGUCGUUCUCCUCAGCAGAUGAACAACUGCAGCAUCAGCACAGAUUUUUUGGAUUAAUAGAGUGCCACUGCCAGUCACAGGCUGUCAUCCUCUGAGUAAAGCCCUCCUAGAAGGGGAUUGCUGAUGGGCACUGGUGAGAAACAUGAACUGAGGAUUUUCUUCUUGGCUGGGAUGGCAAUUGGAUGGAUGUACAUUCCAGACAUAAGGUAACCUAGAGUGUCUCCUCCAGCCUCUUGCCAUCCUUGUCCUUUUUCUUUCCCCAUUUCAUCCCAGACCUCAUCUUCUCCUACAGGAAGCCACAGUGGAUCCCAGCUCCUGAUCUCCCAAUCUGAGUAGCUCUUUGCUCAUUCCCCAGUAUGACACUCUUUGCUUCCAAUCUAUUUGGCUGGACUGCCCUAACUCCCCAAUUCCUUCUUAUGAUCCCAUUUCUCAUCUAGAAUAGGUUUGGUAUCCAGUAUCUCUGUCUGAGAAACUCUUCACAGUGCAUUUGACUAACUCUGUUCUCUUGAUUUGAACAUCUGUGUUGCUGGGACCCAAGGAAGGCAGACCCCUGGUUUUGUUUUGUUGACUAAACUCUUACAGCUCAUGUCCAUCCAUAGCAAAUGGGACCUCUUAGGAAAGUGUUCUGUUGAAAUCAAAGUCAUCUUUAUUAAACAUGCACCAAUACUUUUCAUAUACCUGUCACUGACACAAAAGCUGUCUUCUAUCAGCUUUCAAGUCCUUACAGCAAACUUGCAAGAUGUAGGUUUCAUCACAGAAGACACCCGAAUUUUUAACCACAGCACAUUUUCCCCUACAGCCUGUCAGACACAUCAGAGCUGUCGGAGUUGCUCUACACUAGCUCCCCUUGAGAAUGUGUGUCAAGUAAAAAGUCCUGAGUGAUACCAUUUCAUAUUGCUUAGACAGGACAACAGUAUAAAUGCAUUUAAUCUUAUAAAAAGCAUUCUAAUAUCUUUAGUGACCACUAUGCAGACUUUUAUUCCUUAGAGAAGCUAAGGAAUGUCCUUGCAAACAAGAAAAAUUAAAUCAUGUUGUGCCAAGGCCUAUGCUCUAAGUAGUUCAAGGUGACCAGUGUGCAGCUCUGACUGUUACAUAAAACAAUUUGCAAAGAUCUGUGAAAUUAAACACAAAAUGACAGCUUCUUCAAGAAAACAAGACCCCAGUGAAAAGCUCCAAGGACUAUGCUGAAGUCAUGUCCAGUAAGGAUAAAAAAAGUGGGACCAGACUCAGUAGUAGUCUAGCAGAGUAGCUGAGAGAAGACUCUCAGUUAGGUGCAAGAAGUAUGACACUGAUUAUGUGGGUGAUUGUGAUGAGAUUUAUUGCUAACACGGUAUCUAAAUGUUGCCACUGCAGUGUGUAAUAUAAGGAGGUCUGAAGGGCUGUAACAGACAGGGUCAGCUGGGAACAUGCAGGUUUGCAGAAAGCACAAUUGCAAAGCAGCAAUGCACCCAUGGAGCUACAUAAGGAUUUUAUCUCCACCUGUUACUCACCUGUCCAAACCUGAGUGUUCCCAUCCUCAGCAGGAUGUAGCCUGCAGGUGUCCCUGCAGGGGUGGGAUCCACCUGGAAGCUGCCCUGCAGCCUAGGGAGGUCACUUUGCCAUUUGGCCCAGGCUCCAGGAGCAUUUUGUACCCUUUGCAGGGCCAUGUGUACCAAGAUCAAUCACAGCCAUCACCAGUGCCCCACCCAUGGAAUGCAUUAAUUAUGCAAGCAUCCAGACAGUUCCUCCUGCAAUUCCCACCUGAUGUUCUUAUCUUAGGACAGAUCAUAUUCCAAGACUGCAUGGGAGAGGGGGUUGGUGUAUGUGGAGGACACACUCCAAGACCCGACUAUUUUUUUGUCACCAUCACAGGGGCAAAUUGAUACAGUAAACUUUGCUAAUGAGCAAAAUCAUGAGUGGUGGGCUAUUCUGGCUUCCUGGUGACCCAAAUCUUGAGCUGCAAGGAUGCUUCCUUUGACUCAAACUACAGAAAGAUAGGUAGGCAGCAGAUGCACAACAGCCUGGUUUGUACUUUUCCUUCCCUCCCCUGUUCUUUCCUUUUUCACAUGUGUUUCCCUUUGAUUUCUGUUUGAGAAAAAUCUGUGUGAGAUACUAAAGCUGUCUUUUGGAGAGCUGCUGUGAUGCUGUUAACAAACUUCCAAAAAGCUCUGUUAGAAACAGCAGAGCAUUGCUGCAAUUCCAUGUUUCCAUGCGACCAACAGACAAUAUGCUGUCCUGAAAUUCUCUAGCUAUUCAGUGCCAAAAACCAGAGAGAGCCUGGGUUCCCUUCCCCUGCAGCUCUUGGGCUGUCUUUGUCCCUCUCCCAUAUGGCCCUGCCUCUGCAGGGAAGGACUGGACUCUGUCAACAGCUCCAGUAGAAUUUCCAGCCCAUCUCUGUGAACUGAAUAACUCUCUUUUCUCAAAUGGAAGACCCAAUACUUUGUCUUUCUUCCUAUAUCUAAGCCUGUUAAACAACAAUGUUUUUCUCACACGGACUUUAAACAGUGAAUGCAAAUUGGAGUUUUAAACUUAAAGCCAGACUUUUCUGCAUUCUAAAUAUGUUUAUUCUUUUUUCCCUUACAUUUUUCUAUAUUUAACAAAGGGUUUAAAAGAUUUCCUGUGAUCCAUAUUGCCAUAGGAAUAAAUGAGCAUUUGUAACUUCCCUAUCCAAAGCUUGUUUAGCAAUAUAGUUUUGUUCCAGUGACACAGGGCCUUUAAUUCAUUUGACCCUCUGGGUCUGUUUGCUUUACUGAAAUUUGACUCAGCAAAGUUAAAUCCCCUUCUAUCAUUCUGGAAGACAACUCAUUUUAUGUUUGGACACAAACCAAUUCACUCCCAAAGCUACAUCAUCAACUCCCCCCUAACAUUCCAGUUAGUGCUCCUAGGGCUGAAUGGAAAAAGAAAUGGUGAUGGUUGUACAGAAAUGCACCUCAUUUCUAUGGCAUGCUCAGUGAAUAUCAGAACAAUAGAUGGUGUGUUAACUCCUAUGUUUACCAACACUCUUUUUCCUUGCGUAGUUUAUAUAUUUAUCUAAGGGGGUGGCAGUCUACUGUCAUUUUAUUGUGCAAAAUUCUUGAGUGGAUACCAUGAAGUAAUCUUUUUUUUUUUUUUUUUCCCAAAUUUAUUUUUACUUGAUAUUUGGGAAACUGUUCUGUAAUGACAAGCUCUGGAGCAAAAUCUAAAAGACAGGGACUCUUCUGUAUUUGAAAGAUUUCUCCAUAUGACUGCAAAUAAGAAAAUUAUGGAAAUAUCUAUUCUCUUUAUAUUCCAUAUUGUUCAAUCAACAUGAUUUUCUCUUCCCUCCUGCUAUACAAUCAUGUGCAGAUUUUAUUUUGUCUCUGGUUCAUUUUUAAUAUUUAUAUCUACUUGUUAUCAAACAAAACAGAGCAAUCAGUUGUUUAAGGAUGUGCUGGAACAAAUCAAUACAGGAAAUUUAUAUUUAUUUCCAUGUUCAGGCUAUGGAAGGCUAGCCAGGGAUAUCUCUUUCCACUUAAAACUGUCAAGUCCAUUGGAAAAGAAUUAGGAGUUGGUCAAAAAAGGAUUUUCCUCUCUUUUUUUUUUCCCUCCUCAUCCCUUUUGUGUUAAACAUUAGAGUCCGCCUAUUACUGUAAGCCACAAAGCAGUUCUUUACCUGUUUCAGAGAAAUCUGCUUGAAAUGUGUGCAGCCUUUUUCAUCUCCAGGCUCCUGGUCUGGGCAAACAGAUGGAGUGUUUCUACCUGGGCUAUUAUUUUCUUUUCCUCUUCUACCCUUUGAGCUAAGCCAUGCUCCCUGUGCAACCCAAGAGGGAAGGACUUCUAACCCAACACAGAGCACUGGCCCUCCACAGAAAGCUCUCAGUACUCUUCAGUCCCAGUGCACCAGCUCUUAUGGACCCCAAAGCAGAGGUGCACAUCUGCCUCAUUUCCCUGCACUGCCUGAUUGUAUUUACACCCUCUGCCAAGCUGGUGAUGGCCACAGAACCUGAAGAGGGAAAGAGUGAAAUACUGCUUUCACCAAGGUAUAUAUGAGAGGUAAUUGUUGGUUGCUUCGAAGUCUGAAUCACUCAAUUUUCAGUGGCUUGCAAUAUCACUAACACAGUUUCUUUUUUCCACUACCUGUUAAAUGGAAGAAACCCUUCUCUUUUAUUUGAAACAUUGGUUUUCUUCAGCUCCCUGUAUUUCCUCUGCAAGUCCUUAGGCAUUUUUCUUAAUAUAACUCUGUGCCUCAGCUACUGCACCUCACAGGUAACCAUAUAAGAAGAGUGUGGUAUAUCUGACAUGACUCCUGUGACUCUGAUCUGACACAGCCCUGUAAUGCUACUGAGAUGUGAUUGCUACAUGGCAGUCAGCACCGAGCUAGCACAACACUGGGGGGAAAUCUUAGAGGCUGCAACAAGAAUGCAACAACAUUGGGAAGAAGGCAGUGAAGUGUGGCAAAAUGUGAGUAAAGGAAUGGAAAGACUGAAAUGGAAUAUUAGUAGUAAAUGCACUCAGGAAAAAAAAAUAUCAGAGGGUGAAGGCUCCUACUCUCUGCAGACACUGGAAAUAGAUACUGACAAUGAUAAUACAAAAUUGUUUUUUCAUUUGUUAUACAAAAGAAUGUCCGUAAGAAAAAUGAGGUAGGAAAAUGAAAGGAACAGAUUAACAAAUGCACCUGAAACUGUGAAAGGUAUUGGACUGGCAUCAUUCCAAUGGCAAGAGCAGGAAUCAUUAACUUGAGCUAUUUAGCAUUCAUAUCAGGGCAAAACUGUAGAAAACUACAGAAUGGAAAAAAUUCUGCACUGGUCUAUUGGAUAACUGUAAAUAAUUUGAAUCAACUUCUAUCUUAUCUUUUACAAAUCAGUGGACAACUGAUUAUGCUGUUAUGUAGUUUUAUCACGGCUACCUCCUUUUAUCAGAAAAUGGUGGAGGGUGUUAAGCUAAUGUACAUUUCUUUUACCACUCUGAUUUUGGUUGUUCAGUUUUUUUCUAGGGAAAAAAAAAGAGUUGUCAUCUUCAUUGCUUGAUACUGCUGCUAUUCAGAUCUGGUUUUACAUUAAUUCUUCUUGGUUUGUCACUCACGUGUGAUUAAUCAAGCAGAAACUAAGAAAUAAAAUGAUGUAUUUUGUAAAGGUGAGCUAAGGUUUCAGUAACUGUGAAACUGUGGGUAGGAACACUGUGACAGACUGUCAGGAACUCCAACUUGGUCUAGUUCUAGCUACAUUGGUGGAGUUAUGCUGAACCAUAUUUUCUGAGAAUCUGAAUUUUAAGUAUCCUUUCUAUGUUCUUCAUAUGCAGUAUAAUCUCUGUAGAAAUAAUAACUUGGGAAAAUUUUGCUUUGGUCAAUAUCUGAAAUGAAAAUUAUGUCAUUAGCUGUGAGCCGUCCCCCAGGGCAAAAAUACACCCAGUUAUUACUUGAGACCAGGAAAAAAAUUGCAAUAUUCUCCUUAUUUUAAUCUUUUACUAGAUGAUGAUAAUGGCAAAUUAGAAAUUACUUCUGAGUUCCAACUUCAUUUUAACAUUUAGUAAAUCUGUCUGCUACACAUUUAAUAUUAUUUCCAGUUUCAACAAUAUGUGAGAUAUCUCAGUAUUUGAGGUCCCUCACAACAGGCCCAUGGGACAGAAAAAUGCAAUUUCUGUGCAAAUGCAAACAGAGCUAUAGACAGUUUUCCCCAGGGAAGUAAGUGAUUGAUGCGUGUGUAUAUAUAUAAAAUAUAGAUAUGUCUGUUAUAUAUAUGUGUGUAUGUGUGCAUAUCUAUAAACUCAAUCCAGUUGUGUUUAAGUCCAGAAUAUGUCCCUGAUGCAUGAACCAUAAUCCUUGAUCCUAUAUCCUGAAAUGUCAAAUGAUACCCUCAAAAAGUAUAUUAAAACUCAUUAUACUCUACACAUAUUGCUAAAAUAUUCCUGUGGGGUAUGACUUGUUUGAAGAGAAGUACAAGAAAUAAAUUAGGCAGUUAUUUACUUACAUAUUGCCCACAGUUCUAUAGAUUUAUGAGGAAAACAAAUCUGGAGUGCUGCAUUGCACAACUUCGUAACACUGCAGUUAGAUUUUCUCUUGUAUUUACAGACUGGCUGAUUUUAAAAUCUAUUCAAGCACUGGAAAAUCAUAAAUAUGCAGCUCCACAGAUCUGGAGGUCAGGUUCCUGUGACUGUAAUACAUAUUUUCUCUUGGCAAAGCUCUCCAAUUUAGGGUCAAACUCUGCUUGCUUUUCUCAUGUUUGAUUUGGGAUGGAAAUACACGAGUGAAGGAACAGGUUUUGUCAGAGUAUUGUAUGGCUACACAGUGCUGACUGCUCCAAACACGAGCAAAAAUAUGUACUAAGGUUGUAAUCUAUGAGGGGUGGAAUAUGACAGUGUUUGGUAGAAAUAUUUCUUAAGAGGUCUAUCAGCACCUUCGUGAUUUCAUAGGAAAUCUAACUAAAAUAUGCCUGAUAUAUGACUAUUUAUCCCUCCUAACCAAAACUUCUGAAGGCUCAUAGUUGAAGCCUCAUUUUGACUCCUCUAUUAAUAUGAGAAAUUUUAAAUAAAAUGAGUUAACAGAUGUAAAAGCUGGUAUCAGUGUUAACACCUUCAAUUUCUGAUCAUAAAUGCAAUUAGGAAUUGCCCCUUUAUUUUAAAUCCAGAAGAGAGCAUGACUGAGAACCUGGAAAGUGAGCAUCAUGGUACCAUCAAUGCUCUAUAACUCUCCUGUGAUGGGGCACGGUAGAGCUGCCACUGGCGUAGUCAUUGAUUUUUGAAGAUUCUCUUUCCUGCAGCCAACCAAAGCGUGAUAACCCCCUCCCCCACCAAAAAACUGGAACACACAGCAGUGCUGUGUUCAGGGCAUGACUGAACAUUUGAGCAGCUGAUGUGGCACCACUUCAUCCCUGGCACUGCUGCCAAAAGGGUUGUGUAUCACGUCAUAACCCCAGAAGGAAUUUCUGUACAGCUGGAAAUUGCAUUUGGAAAAGCAAAGGCAAAAUGAACCUUACCUAUCUCCCCCAGAUAUUACCCAAACAAAAA